rnacentral:lncRNA from 10 species
UGAGUUUGGGGUCCCAAAAUUUAAUUUCUUUUCACAGAUUAAUGCCAUUAUAAAGAGCUUGGUGGAGGGAGCUUGCGCUAUCUCUUUUGCCCUUCUAUCCCCACCAUGUGGAACAAAGUGUUUCUCCCUUUUGAAGGAUGCAACCUUCAAGGCAUCAUCUUGGAAUCAGAAUUGCCAAACCUGGUUUGCUGUUGGCCGGGCGCGGUGGCUCACGCCGGGCGUGGUGGCUGGUGCCUGUAGUCCCAGCUACUUGGGAGGCUGAGGCAGGAGAAUGGCGUGAACCCGGGAGGCAGAGCUUGCAGUGAGAGGGAGAUCGCGCCCCUGCACUCCAGCCUGGGUGACAGAGCGAGACUCUGUCUCAAAAAAAAAAAAAAAAAAAAAAAUAUAUAUGGUGCUGUUAAUGCUGGCUAUGGAAUGGAUGU